AAUCGGUGUUGCUGGCACUUUCUCAGAAGUUCCUUGAACCUUUCCCACGUCUCAAAUAGAGACUCCAAUUCUGACUGUACAAAGAACGAGAUCUCAUUCAUAAGCUU